rnacentral:rRNA from 1 species
UAGGGAAUCUUCGGCAAUGGACGAAAGUCUGACCGAGCAACGCCGCGUGAGUGAAGAAGGUUUUCGGCUCGUAAAACUCUGUUGUUAGAGAAGAACAAGGACGUUAGUAACUGAACGUCCCCUGACGGUAUCUAACCAGAAAGCCACGGCUAACUACGUGCCAGCAGCCGCGGUAAUACGUAGGUGGCAAGCGUUGUCCGGAUUUAUUGGGCGUAAAGCGAGCGCAGGCGGUUUCUUAAGUCUGAUGUGAAAGCCCCCGGCUCAACCGGGGAGGGUCAUUGGAAACUGGGAGACUUGAGUGCAGAAGAGGAGAGAUGAAUUCCAUGGGUAGCGGUGAAAUGCGUAGAUAUAUGAAGGAACACCAGUGGCGAAGGCGGCUAUCUGGUCUGUAACUGACGCUGAGGCUCGAAAGCGUGGGGAGCAAACAGG